rfam:Salmo salar isolate Sally breed double haploid chromosome ssa16, whole genome shotgun sequence.
UGCAUUCACUACUGUACGUCGCUCUGGAUAAGAGUGUCUUGCUAAAUGACAAAAA